UGUUUCCGCUUUCCCGCCUUGCCCCUCCCUGCUCCGCGGCCAGCCACAAGUUAAACGGGGGUUGCGUGCUUGAGGCAUUCACGACGAGAUCUGUUUUGCUGAGAGAAAGAACGGGAAACCCAAGGCUUCUGUGGGCUGAGACAGCGGUAGUACAAGUCAGGGAAACCUACGAUCUGACCCUUAGGUCUCCCCGCCCCACGUAGACACGACCUAAAUCCUGCAGCGGUCCGGUCUGUCGCAAUUCCCCCCGGGAUCCGCCCCUGGGCGGAGCUGACAGCAAGCAGCUAGAGUACUGACAGAGGGACCGGAGAGCUGAUCCCGUUCCGGAUUUUGUCUCUGUUCCUCCCCCCGCAGUGCGUUCGCAUCCUAUUAGGCUACAUCACCAGGCCGCCCGCCAAUGGGCGGGCAGGACAACACGGCAUGGAGCAGCUCCACAUGGACACCCCGCGCCGCCAGCCUUCUGUUUAAAGGGCCAGUGUCUACAGGGUCGUUUUAGCGGGUGCGGAUAAGGCCACCGGGUGAACGUAGGGUGAGACACCUACAGGGGAAUUCCGCAGUCCUGCUCAGGCCCAUCCCCUGCUUUACAUCACCCUCCCAUUCAAAACCAAGUAUUCCUUUCCUUUCCCUGAAUUCUUUGUCCACUCGUGUUUGAUAUGGGCGGAGACUGAGAACGUGCCAUUCCAAAGCACAGCCUUCGUUGUGAUGCCGGGACAGCAGUGGUCAAAAGGCGAAGCGCCCACAGCCCAGGCCAAGGAGGCGUAGUCUAAACCAGGAACAACAACGUGGAGGGCGGAAGCUGCGCCCUACCCGGGCUGCCGGCUGUGCGCGGGGCGGGGUCGCUGCCUUGGGUUGGAGGCGCGCUCUCUCCUAGGCUCGCCAGCCAGCCUUUAUCCUGGUUCUAGGGCUUAGGACCGUCCAUGGGUACAAUCAGAAAGAUCUCUGAAGUCAGCUUGCCCAAAUCAUUGCACUUCACAGAUAAGAAAACUGAGGCCCAAGAAAAGGGACGAUUCCAACUGCUCCUUGUGCCGUGAGCAACUAACUAUUCGAAGUCAGGUCUGAGGCCAGACUUCUCUCACCACCACCUCGUCCUGUACCCCACGCCCCGCAAAAAGUGAAGGAGUAUUAAACUACUGUGCAGAGAGGGGUCUGAUUAGGACAACAGAAACGUCCUAUACCUAAAACCCAACCACACUGUUUGGGUUCUUUGGUGGAAGCCACACACAUUCCAUUAACAGUGAAAAGCACAGGACUAUUAUGGGCACCAUGGAGAUGAUCCAAUUCUGUUGUCCCAGUGCUAGGCAUACACACUUCCCUGUUAUUGUCUCAAACUCCUUGAUUAGCCAGUGCGGGAGAGUAGAUAUACCAGUGCUUUCAGGAUCUCGGGCUCUAUCACACAACACCCGAAAGUAGGCCUCUGAGACCUUAGAGGCAGGCCACCUUGACAGCCCAACCCACCCACACCGUGCCCUUAAGUGUAUGUAUGUACCUGCUUCAAGGGCUGCCAGCACAGCCAGGAUCACAGAACAAAAGAAGCUUAAGGGUUUCUCUUCCCCUUAAGGUUAUCCUAAAGACAGACGGACUCCCUGCACAGCUGAAUGGAGCUUUGAUGUUGGUAUGUUGAACUGUGUGUAGUAUGUGGAACUGAGCAUGAAUCACCCUUCCACAAAUGUCUGGUGUCACCGACUUCAUGAAGCUGGAGUAAACCAAACCAUGAAAGCCCAGUCCUCUGCAGGCCUAAUUUAGACCUUGGUAGAGUUCUGAUUCACAAACCAUUUUGAAGUUUGGUGUGGUGGCACAUACCUGUAAUCUCAGAACCAAGAAGAAGAGGCAGGAAGAACACCAUACCUGAUCUACAUAACAAGUUCCAGCAUUCUAAUCCUGCCCGAUCCCACCAGGAGCAAGAGAGGAACGUCAUGAGUUUUCCAGAAAAACGGUGACUGGGGAAGUCUAAGAAGAAGGAAGGGGAACCAAGAGUAAGGUCAACCCAAACUCUCCCAAGAGUAACACACCCACAGGGAAAGCAGUCGUUCAUCAAGGGUGCCAAUGCUAAGAAACUGUUGCUGGGUUACUACAAAUCAGAAGC